GAUGAACGCUGGCGGCGUGCCUAAUACAUGCAAGUCGAGCGAACAGAUAAGGAGCUUGCUCCUCUGAAGUUAGCGGCGGACGGGUGAGUAACACGUGGGUAACCUACCUAUAAGACUGGGAUAACUUCGGGAAACCGGAGCUAAUACCGGAUAAUAUUUAGAACCGCAUGGUUCUAUAGUGAAAGAUGGUUUUGCUAUCACUUAUAGAUGGACCCGCGCCGCAUUAGCUAGUUGGUAAGGUAACGGCUUACCAAGGCGACGAUGCGUAGCCGACCUGAGAGGGUGAUCGGCCACACUGGAACUGAGACACGGUCCAGACUCCUACGGGAGGCAGCAGUAGGGAAUCUUCCGCAAUGGGCGAAAGCCUGACGGAGCAACGCCGCGUGAGUGAUGAAGGGUUUCGGCUCGUAAAACUCUGUUAUUAGGGAAGAACAAAUGUGUAAGUAACUAUGCACAUCUUGACGGUACCUAAUCAGAAAGCCACGGCUAACUACGUG
rnacentral:rRNA from 1 species